rnacentral:rRNA from 1 species
CAAUAGCGUAUAUUUAAGUUGUUGCAGUUAAAAAGCUCGUAGUUGGAUUUCGGGUUGGCUUCAGCGGUCUCGCUUUGCGUUUGUACUGCUGCAGCCUACCUUCUUGUCGGGGACGGGCCUUCGGGCUUAAUUGCUUGGGGCCCGGAGUCGACGAUGUUACUUUGAGUAAAUUAGAGUGUUCAAAGCAAGCCUACGCUCUGAAUAUAAUAGCAUAGGAUAACACGACAGGACUCUGGCCUAUCGUGUUGGUCUGUAGGACCAGAGUAAUGAUUAAGAGGGACAGUCGGGGGCAUUCGUAUUCCGUUGUCAGAGGUGAAAUUCUUGGAUUUACGGAAGACGAACAUCUGCGAAAGCAUUUGCCAAGGAUGUUUUCAUUGA